rnacentral:rRNA from 1 species
AUUGAACGCUGGCGGCAUGCCUUACACAUGCAAGUCGAACGGUAACAGGUCUUCGGAUGCUGACGAGUGGCGAACGGGUGAGUAAUACAUCGGAACGUGCCUAGUAGUGGGGGAUAACUACUCGAAAGAGUGGCUAAUACCGCAUGAGAUCUACGGAUGAAAGCAGGGGAUCGCAAGACCUUGUGCUACUAGAGCGGCCGAAGGCAAAUUAGGUAGUUGGUGGGAUAAAAGCUUACCAAGCCGACGAUCUGUAGCUGGUCUGAGAGGACGAUCGGCCGCACUGGGACUGAGACACGGCCCAGGCUCCGACUGGAGGCAGCAGUGGGGAAUUUUGGACAAUGGGCGCAAGCCUGAUCCAUCAAUGCAGCGUGCAGGAUGAAGGCCUUCGGGUUGUAAACUGCUUUUGUACGGAGCGAAAAGCCCUGGGUUAAUACCCUGGGGUCAUGACGGUACCGUAAGAAUAAGCACCGGCUAACUACUUGCCAGCAGCCGCCGUAA